CAAGGAUUGCGAUAUAAACCCAGGCCUUCCAGCAGGCAAUGGCAACCCCCUUUGGGUCCCCUCCCUUUAUAUGGGAGCUCUGUUUUCACCCUAUUAAAUCUUGCAACUGCACUUUUCUGGUCCAUGUUUGUUACAGCUUGAGCUGAGCUUUCGCUCGCCAUCCACCACUGCUGUUUGCCGUUGUGCCGGACCCGCCACUGACUUCUAUCCCUCCGGAUCCGGCAGGGUGUCUGCUGUGCUCCUGAUCCAGCGAGGCGCCCAUUGCUGCUCCCGAUCAGGCUAAAGGCUUGCCAUUGUUCCUGCACGGCUAAGUGCCUGGGUUCGUCCUAAUCGAGCUGAACACUAGUUACUGGGUUCCAUGGUUCUCUUCUGUGAUCCAUGGCUUCUAAUAGAGGUAUAACACUCACCUGGCAUGGCCCAGGAUUCCAUUCCUUGGGAUCCGUGAGGCCAAGAACCCCAGGUCAGAGAACACGAGGCUUGCCACCAUCUUGGAAGCGGCCCACCACCAUCUUGGAAGCUGCUAGCCACCAUCUUGGAAGUUCUGUGAACAAGGACCCCCGGUAACAUUUUGGCGACCACGAAGGGACCUCCAAAGUGAACUUUGGAUGCCAUUCCACUUGAAGUCAAGAGAAGAAUACCUAAAGAGUCCUCAGUCCAGGGCCAGCCACUUACCUAUUAAGCAUGCAACUCACUUGCCUGAAGGGGGCAAUGGCAAGGCAGUCUCACGGACUAAGCAAGCUAUGAUGUUAGUUACAAGGAAAGUAUGACAAUAUCCUAUGGGAUGUGCACAAGGAGAGUAUCUUCUGGGAUAUGCCCAAGCCUGCGGAACAACAGACCUUUAUUUCUAGUGCAUAUGUAUUUUUUAUGAAUAGGAAUAUUGUGAUUAAUUCAGAGGAAAGAGAGAAGUUAUUACAGACUAGAAAAGAAUUUAGAAGCAAAAUGUUGUGGAAAUGGGCACCUUUGACUGAACCAUGUUUCUUGCUCGGUAUUGAAAAAUGACCUCAUUCCUUUGUAAGUAUUAGUCACAUUUUAAUGGGGACAUAUUCAACGUUUGUACAAGAACUCCCAAAUCUUCUGAAAGCAUUAUCAUCACACAUGGGUGAAUUUCAAUUACCGAUGGUGCCACCAAUUCAGUGUUCUUCCUAUAUUAUGAUCACAGAUGAAGGUGAGUUUUUAGAUGGUCAGUGACUAAAGGCUUUGAAGCAACUGAUGUCACUUGCUUUCCAUUUGUAUCCUUUCUGCUCUUAAUUGUUGCUUCUGCUAGUAAGCAGGAUGUAUUAUCCAAAACAUACUAGGCUUUGAAAAUGCAAGCUCUUUUGCUAUGCAUUAAUAUGAUCAUUUUUCUAAGUUAAUGCAUCAUCAUUACUUCCCACUUGGCACAUGGGAAAAUGUAGCACAAGCAGAACUAGGGUUUGAAGUCAAACCUCAAAAAAGAAAAAAAAAUAGAUUUUGCUCUUUAAUAGAAAAGAGAAGAAGUAAGGGCUGCAAGCAAAACAAAAAUAACUCUUGAGUUGUAUUUGGAAAAUGGCUGCUAGACAGGCAGAAUUUCUUGAGCACUUGGACUGAAGAUGGUCAUACAGUAUGAGAUGCUUUGCUUUUUCCAUUCAGGCAGAAUGUGGUUGAAAGGUGCUUUUAAAUGUCAUUCCAAGUAUGGCAGAGGUGCAGACCAAGGAAAGCCUUUAGAAUCCAUUAGGUUGCUUUUAAGAUUCCCCCCCGCCACUUUACCAUCUGAAAAUUAUUUUCUCCACUGUCAACAGGAGAUAAUAACAUCUAUCUUGCACGAUUGUUGUGUAAAGCAGUGAUCACAGUGCUGAUAUAGAGCAGCUACUCAAUAAAAAGAAAGGGUUUUGAAUGUUAAUGAGAGAAGUUAAAACCUGUUCAGACAAGCAAGAAGCAACAAACUCUUCCCUGAGAUUUAUUUUCCUUGUCUGUAAAUACAGUAACAGGACCUUAUUCUUUGGGUUGGAGUGAGGAUUAAAUCAAUAAAGCACAUGAAAAUAUGUUGCACAGAGC
rnacentral:lncRNA from 1 species